CUGAUUCUGAGGAAUCUUGCACACUGCCUGCGUGGUGUGAGCUUGGCGUUUCUGCUGUGUGUCAGUUGCGUGGCGGCUGCGUGGCGUUUUCUAUGGAACUUUGUC